UACAGAGGUCUCAAGCGUUGUUCGGAUUCAUUGGGCGUAAAGGGCGCGUAGGCUGCGGGGCAAGUCGGGUGUGAAAUCUCAGAGCUCAACUCUGAAACUGCACUCGAUACUGCUUGCUUGAGGACUGGAGAGGAGAUUGGAAUUCACGGUGUAGCAGUGAAAUGCGUAGAUAUCGUGAGGAAGACCAGUGGCGAAGGCGGAUCUCGUGGACAGUUCCUGGA
rnacentral:rRNA from 1 species